UUAAGUUCGGCGGGUAUCCCUACCUGAUCCGAGGUCAACCACAGAGUUUGGGGUUCUGGCAAGCCACCGCCGGGCCCUAGAGCGAGAUAUGUACUACGCUUAGAGCCAGACGGUGCCGCCACUGUCUUUAGGGCCGGCCGCAACCGGGCAGGGCCCAACACCAAGCUGAGCUUGAGGGUUGAACUGACGCUCGAACAGGC
rnacentral:misc_RNA from 1 species